AUUCAAGAUAGCUGUGGAAAA
rnacentral:miRNA from 1 species